UUAUCUCUCUCUCCUCAACAUCAUCUCUUCAUUUUCUCAGAUCUCAGCAUCUUUUACUCUCUCUAGAACUUUCUCUGUUUCUCUCUGUAGAAGAAGAAGAAGUUAGCUUGAGCAGCAGAAAUGGCUAUAGGUAGAUCAACAAGCAGCAACCCGCCCAAGCAGAGGAAGAGAGUUGAAGCUGAGUCUCCAGAUGUUGAGUCUUCGCCUUCUGCUACUCUUCUCUUAAUUGUGCUAAGGAUGGCAACGCUUUCUCUCGCUGUGAGGAAUGCAACAACAUGUGCCAAUAGCUCUUAUUGAUAUGCACAACUGCAGCAUUGAGGCGAAAAUCAAGAUGAGCCUUGGGAAGAGAAGAGCCUUGAUUUCGCCAUCAACAGGAUAUGUAAAUGAAAGUUCGAAACCCAUCCUAGAGGAGUUUGGCCCUCGACGUAGCCUUCUGUCCUAUGCAAAUGAGCCUUUGAUCUUUGAGGUGUAGCUUUUGAAAAUAUUGUAAUGCCCUUUAUAUGCUUCGGUUUUCACAUGUUGCUUGGCGUGCAUUCAGAUAAGUUGUCACAUCUUCUGUAAUUAUGAAAUUGAUUUAUAUGAAGCCAUUUCUUGAUUUAUUGAAGCUCUUAAUCUAGAUCAAUUAUGCCUGCUGGAUGAUACCCUCUUUGCAUAUGAAUAUAUGUUAUAGGUCUCCCCUGUUUUUGUUGGCUUUGUGAUUUAUGAUAUAUGAACCGUUGAUAGGAGACAUAAGGAACAUAUAUCAAUUCUAAUUAUAAUGCCUUGUGAGCAUAACCUGUUAUUGAAUUUAUGAGUAACCUCAAGAUGCAAUAAAAAAAGAACGGAGGAAGUAUGUUCUUGUGUAAUUGUAUGUGAAUAGUGCACAUUGUAGAAAUGUUGUUAACAUCUUUAAUUGGUGUAUUUGCAAUCAUAAGCUUGGCUUCUACUCAUCUAGUGCCGUAAUAGCAGAUCAAUGCUGUCAUUAAAUCACUUGAAUUCUUAAUACUGAUUACAUGACCAUACUAUACAAUUUACUGACAUGUCUUUCAUACAAUGAGUGUUAAUGGAAUGAACUGAGCAUAAUAUAUGACGUUAAAUCCUCGAUAUGCAGCAAUAGGAUAAUGAUAGACCCUUUGUUUUUGCAUAAGCUUAUGUUUGAGCAGUUUCCCUCUUUUUCACUGUAGCUUUCAGGUUUGUUUUACCAGCACUUCCUCCUCCCCUCUCCCUCCCAUUAAUAUGAAUUGACGAAUUUUCAAGCAUUUAUAAUCUUUGUCCUUCCCAUUCUGGUUAACUGCAUAUCUAUAAUGUUUUAUACAAUUUUAGUAAAUUAAGUAUAUCAAAAUACAUGCUCAUAUAACAGUUUUAGUAAUACUGUUGGCUUGUUCCUAGCAGCCAUUGCUAUUCUUCAGAGAAGCCAAGAACGAACAUCAAGCACAACAAAACAACAAAAAUGACCAACAACAGCAGUAGCCACCAACAGAACCAGCAAGGUUUUUGAAGUCAAGAAUUGCAUAGAAGAAUCGAAGGAAGCACGAUAGAAGAUUCGAAGAAAGCGAGGUGCGCGGACGCGCAAACCUUGUACGCGCCCGCGCACUGGAGGAAAAUUUCAGAAGCGUAGGCAGAACCUUUGCACGGGGGGUUGCGCUGCCUGUACCCGGGCGCGCAACCCAGCAGCAUAAGUUGUGCAUACCCACAAAAACGUGGCG